UCCAAAAGGGAAUCUUUUUUUUUUUAUCUUUAUAACGUAUUUUGUUAUAUACUGUAUCAAAAAGAAAAUAAAUAAUGAAAAGAAAAUUAAAAUAUCACCUCUGUUCUUCUGUUCUUUCCUUUGAUUUUUUUGUUUUUUUGUAUAUAUUAGUAAAAAAUGUCGUUACAUUUUAGAAAAAGAAGGGGUUUUUAUAACCCUUUGUUACAUUUUAGGAAAAGAAAUCAUUUGAUUUCUUUCCAAAUCUGUUUCUUGGUUGCUGUUGGUUUUCUCUUCCUUUUUGCAGGUAUCUAGCGAGGAAAUCAGUGGGCCAGGAUGAUUAGGCCCUGAUGACGACGGUGCUGACGCUAAUCUGUGUUUUAUUCGACUUCAACUACGGCCAAAUUUGAGGCCUGGAAUCACGGCGUCGAUGAGGGUAGAUGGAACGACCGAGGUUGAAGAGGUGUGACUGAUGGGGUGCUCACGACGUGAAGCUUCUGGAAACCCUAGGGUUUCCAGAUUCUGUUUAGGCAUUGGGCCUUUUUUAGGUUGGGUCUUGUUUGGGUUUGGGUGUAACAGGUUAAUAGAUUUUAGGCCAAAGGUUUAGGCUAAUUGGGUUGUAACUGGGUACUGGGUUUUAGGUAGUUUAGCUGGGUUACGAGUUAAUGGAUUUUGGGCUAUAGUAUUGGGUUUGUAAACUGGACUGUACAAAAACUAUUUUUUUUGUUUGUAUUUGUUAAUGUAUGGGCCCGGGUAAAUUUGGUUUGCUACAGCUGCCCCUCUUUGCUCAUUUCUAUAUGAUAGGAAUCGAGAAAAGACUAUAAAAGGACCAAAUUUGCCCGGUCUGGCUAAGUCUCAAAAUCUUGAUCCUCAUCUUCCCCAAAGGUAGUCUGAUGUCUUCAGGAGUGUCAAAUUGGCUAUCUUCAACUUGCUUCUUGAAAACUCAAGAACACCAAUCUAUUAUUCUCGAUCUGUUCUCUGCCAAUACAGAGACGCCAAAUCUGCUAACUUCGAUCUGCUCUCUGCCAAUACAAAGACGCCAAAUCAUCUUAGAUUUGCUUCAACGUAAACACAUGAAAGCCAAAUCAGCUAUGUCUUAGAUCUGUUCUCUGCCGAAUACAGAGAUGCCAAAUAUGUCAUCUUUGAUUUGCUCUCUGCCAAUACAGAGAUACUAAAUCUGCUAUCUUCGAUCUGCUCUCUGCCAAUACAGAGAUGCCAAAUCAUCUUAGACUUGCUUCAAUGUAAACACGUGGAAGCCAAAUCAACUAUGUCUUCGAUCUGCUCUCCGCCGAAUACAGAGAUGCCAAAUCUACUAUCUUUGAUCUGCUCUCUGCCAAUACAGAGAUGCCAAAUCUGUUGUCUUCGAUAUGCUCUCUGCCAAUACAGAGAUGUCAAAUCUGGUAUAUUUGAUCUGCUCUCCGCCAAUACAGAGAUGUCAAAUCAUCUUAGAUUUGCUUUAACGUAAACGCGUGAAAGCCAAAUCAGCUAUGUCUUCGAUCUGUUCCCUGCCAAUACAGAGAUGCCAAAUCUGUUGUCUUGGAUCUGCUUCGAUGUAAACACAUGAAGGUCAGAUCUGCUAUGCUUUGGCCUGUUACCCUACUGCUUAGAGGCUAAGGCGUAUCGAUCUUCAUUGUCCCUUGAAUGACAUGACCUGUAAAAUGUGUAUGAGUUCAUGCCUAAUAAUUAGGAUGCUAUGAUCGAAAUGAGUCAAAUGCUCCUAAUUAAAUCUAUUGUAAUGCAAAAUGUUUAUGAAUAUGACCCCUAUUCCAGACGUCACUACUCAUUCCUUCGUCAAAGCUCUUCUUUAUUUCUUGCGCAGUAUCAUUCUUACUCAACCCAUGGGUUUCUACCAUUCUUCAAAUGCUAUGACCCAUCAGACUAUUUGUAAGAUGAUCUUCUCUUAGGAUCGAAUCGUUUGAUUUGUUCAAUCAUCAUUUUGGACUUAAAAAAGGACUUCCCUCGAGUCUUACGUGAAUUCCUUGAACAAUUGUUCUAUUUUAGUUUCUUGUAUUAUCUAGAAAUCUCCAGAGUAAUAAGCAAAACCUCAUUUGUGAAAGUCAUUUAGUUCAUCAAUCAUUAUUUAAUGCAACACACUUUAAGAAUAAUGGAAGAUGAAUUCAAUCUUGAGAAUAAUCAGAUUUGAAUGAAUUUGUCAAAAAUACAUAAGGAAUUAAUCUGAAAGCUUCUCUUUGAGAAGAAAAAAAAUCUAAAGAUAGCAAACAGGACAAAAGUUAGAUGCCCUAGAUAUCGCAGCUUGAGCGUUUAUAUGCCAAUUCCAUGAAGACUUUCUUGAAUUCAACAUGUGUUUAAAAGAUCCAAAGUACUUUAUUGAUGCCCCGAUAUGCAACGCGCUUCGCUCUUCCUUGAAUCAGAUAUAGCAAGAUUACCGUGUGCUUUUCAAAAUUUAAGCUGCCCUUUCGGGUUUUCAACUCAAAACCCCUUUGGUCACAAGGCGCCCUUUUCGGGUUUUCACCUUGGCCUCUCCAUUUUUUUUUCUUUUUUCUUUUUUUCUUUUCUUUUCUUUUCUUUUGAAAUCUCAAGGCGCCCUUUACGGGUUUUCACCUUGGAUUCUCCUUUCCUUUAGACAAAGUAAUUUUUGACUGAGUUUGAAUUCACUGGAUUGGGUAAACUUUUCCCAUCCAUUUCUGUCAAAAUCAAUGCUCCUCCAGAGAAAGCCUUCUUCACAACAUAUGGCCCUUCCCAAUUUGGCAUUCAUUUUCCUCUGAAGUCCUUCUAAAUAGGAAGGAUCUUUUUUAGCACAAGGUCCUCUUCACGAAACUCUAUUGGACGAACCUUCUUGUCAGAAGCUCGCAUCAUUCGCUUCUGAUACAUCUGACCAUGGCGAAUAGCCUUUAGCCUCUUCUCUUCAAUCAAGUUCAAUUGGUCAUAUCGCGAUUGAAUCCACUCUGCCUCAUCCAACUUUAUCUCUAACAAGACUCGGAGAGACGGUAUUUCAACUUCAAUAGGUAACAUUGCCUCCAUCCCAUAAACCAGCGAGAAAGGAAUUGCCCCAGUAGAGGUUCUGACAAACAUUCUAUAGGCUAAGAGUGCAAACGGUAACUUCUCAUGCCAAUCUCUAUAGGUUUCAGUCAUUUUCCCCACUAUCUUCUUGAUAUUUUUGUUAGCAGCCUCCACUGCCCUAUUCAUCUUUAGGCGAUAUGGAGAUGAAUUAUGAUGCUUAAUCUUAAACUGACUACAGACUUCUGCUAUCAUUUUGUUGUUCAAGUUUAAUGCAUUGUCUGAUAUAAUCCUCUCAGACAUCCCAUUUCGACAAAUAAUCUCUUUCUUCAAGAAACGACUUACAGCCGACUUAGUAACAUUUGCAUAAGAAGCAGCCUCUACCCACUUUGUGAGAUCCAUUUGAAGCUUUUGGCGAUAUUGGCCCAAUGAAAUCCAUGCCCCACAUGGAAAAAGGCCAUGGAGACGUCAUAACAUGUAGAGAUGAAGGUGGCACAUGAAUCUUAUCACCAUAAAUCUGACAUUUAUGGCAUUUCUUAGCAUAAUUGAUACAAUCCCCCUCCAUAGUAGACCAAUAAUAUCCAAACCUCAUGAUUUGUCUAGCCAUCGUGAAACCAUUAGCGUGCGUCCCACAAACACCCUCAUGAACUUCCUCCAAGAUAAACUUAGCUUCCACGGUGUCAACGCAUCUCAACAAUACAUGGUCCUUUCUUCUUUUGUACAAGAUGUCCCCAUCCAAAACAUAAUCACAAGCUAAUCUCCUUAAAGUUCACUUGUCAUUUUCAGUCGCCUAUUCUGGAUAUUUACGAUCUCUUACAUAUCGCAAUAUAUCCAAAUACCAAGGGUUAUCAUCCUUUUUUUCUUCUUCGAUGUUACAACAAUGAGCUGGAGCCUCAAAGAUACUCAUCUGAAUAGCUCUCAUCUCCUCCUCUCUAUUUACUUUGAUCAUUGAAGCCAAAGUUGCCAGAGCAUCUGCCAUCUGGUUUUCGUCUCGUGGGAUAUAAUUGAAAGUGAUAUCAUCAAACUCCUCAAGUAAUCCCAAAACUAUCUUUCGAUAAUUGAUCAAUUUAGGAUCCCUUGUUUCCCAUUUAUCUCUAAGCUGGUAAAUAACCAACGCAUAGUCUCCAUAUACUUCCAAGGUUCUUAUUCCUCGCUCUAUAGCCGCUCGGAGUCCCAUAAUGCAUGCUUCAUACUCGGCCAUAUUAUUUGUGCAAUCAAAAUCUAAUUUGCAUGUAAACGGAUAAUAAUCGCCAUUUGGGGAUAUCAAGACUUCCCCAAUUCCAUUUCCCACUGCAUUGGAUGCCCCAUCGAAGCUCAUCUUCCAAAGACCAUCUUCUGUAGUUGUUACACACAUCAACUCUUCAUUUGGGAAAUCAAAAUUCAACGGCUCAUAGUCCUCUAGAGCUCUACUAGCCAGAAAAUCCGCUAUCGCACUUCCUUUUAUAGCCUUUUGACUCACAUAGACUAUGUCGAACUCUGAAAGCAAAAUUUGCCAUCUUGUCAUUCUCCCAUUCAAUGCUGUUGACUCCAUCAUAUACUUCAAAGGAUCAAGUUUUGAAAUGAGCCAAGUAGUAUGAUACAACAUGUACUAUCUUAACCUUCGAGUCGUCCAAAUUAAAGCACAACACAAUUUAUCAAUUGGCGAAUAUCUCAUCUCAUAUUCUGUGAAUUUCUUGCAAAAGUAGUAUAUUGCCUUCUCCUUUCUUCUCAACUCGUCAUGUUGACCAAGCACACAUCCCAUGGAAUUGCUGAAUACUGAUAAGUACAGUAUUAGUGGUCUAUCUGGACUGGGCGGAGAUAACACCGGAGCAUUCAACAAGUACUGUUUGACCUUUUCAAAAGCAUUCUGGCAUUCCUCAUCCCAAGUACCUUGAUUGUGCUUUCUAAGUAGGCGAAAGAUGGGAUUAACUUCUCAGUUAAUUGUGAAAUAAAUCGAGUGAUGUAAUUCAGUCUUCCUAGAAAUCCUCAAACUUUCUUCUGAAUUUAUGGUGGAGGUAAUUCUUGUAUGGCUCUGACCUUGUCUGAGUCAACUUCAAUUCCCUUUUCACUAACUACGAAGCCUAAUAACUUUCCCGAUCUAGCUCUAAAUGUACACUUUACUGGAUUGAGCUUCAACUGAAACUUUCUCAAUCUCUAAAACAAUCUUCUCAAGACCUCAAUGUGCUCCUUUUCUGUUCACAACUUGGCAAUCAUAUCAUCAACAUACACCUCAAUAUCCUUAUGCAUCAUGUCGUGGAACAGGUUCACCAUGGCCCUUUGGUAUGUUGCCCCUGCAUUCUUUAACCCAAAAGGCAUUACCUUGUAGCAAAAGGCACCCCACAAAGUUAUGAAGGUGGUUUUUUCCAUGUCCUCGGGAUGCAUCUUUAUCUGAUUGUACCCUGAGAAACCAUCCAUGAAGGAGAACAACGAAUAUCCCGUUGUAUUGUCUACCAAUGUGUCUAUGUGUGGUAGAGGGAAAUUAUCUUUGGGGCUAGCUUUAUUCAGAUCUCUGUAAUCAACACACAUCCGUACCUUCUCAUCUUUCUUAGGAACUGGUACAAUGUUAGCUACCAUUCAGAGUACUUCACCUCUUGCAAGAAUCUUGCAUCGAACUGCUUCUUGACUUCAUCCUUUAUUUUCAACACGAUAUCUGACCUCAUUCUUCGCAACUUCUGCUGGACUGGCUUACAAUCCUGUCUUAUUGGGAGACGAUGCACCACAAUAUCAGUAUUUAAACCUGGCAUAUCUUGAUAGACCAUACGAAGAUAUCCUUGAAAUCACGAAGCAACUGAAUCAAUCUUUGCCUUGUGUCUUCAUCAAUAUGCGUGCCAAUUUUCACCUCCUUUCCUUCCUCUAGGGCUACAUUCUCUAUUGCCUCUUUCUCAUGUGGCAUUAUUUUUUUUCCUCUUGUUUUACCAUCCUCAAAAGAUCUAGAGACACAUCACAAUCUUGGACAUCUUCAAAAUCUUGAGAUUCCUCUAAACACAUGUCUUGCUCGUGAGAGAAAUCAGGAUUUGAUAUAUCAGUGCUCAUGUCAUUAAUAUCUAAGGAUCUCAGAAGUAUAAAGAAUAUACAAAGAAUGAAUGAAUUUAUUUAUGUACUAAGAAUGAAAGAAUAAGAAUUAUCAAAAUUUGAUGGAAUAUUGAUUGAUAAAAAUGAAGCAAUACUCGUUUGAAUUAAUAAAAGUUAUGUUUUAUUUAAAAAAUGAUAAAUGAUCAUAAGCCUCUUUCACAAAUGUAAUCCUAUUACUCCUAGGCUCUAGAGUAAAAGAAUGUUUAAGAAUUACUCUGAACAAUUCCUAAAGACUACAGGAAGUUCUUCCGCAGUCCAAUUGUUUAGAAAGCUUCCCGAUUCGUAAGGGCGAAUACCCUCAAGGUUCCUUUGCUCUGAUCCUUCGUCAUGCGCAACAUUAAUCUGAUGACUCUCCUCUUCAAGUAAUCCUCUUGAUAUGAAGGUUUUGGAUAUAUGAGGGAAUGUCAUCGAUUCCCACCCCACUUCUUUUCCAUCUAAACGUGCCCUUCUCCUUUCUUGGCACUUCUUAAUGUCUUUCCUCUUUUGCUUAUAGUCUGGUUUGAAACCCAAACCAAAGCGGUCUUUUUUCUCAAUCAACUUUGGGAUCUGAGUCCCUCCUUGUAGAUACUUUCCUAAACCUCUUCCUAGUAAGGCUCCCAUUCCCGCCAUCAUUUGUAGAGUCAUCCUUGUAGCUCUUGCCAUCUUUGGUACUGGUAGCUCACUUCCUUCUGAAAUGAAAGUUGCAUUUACGAAUUCUAAAGAGCGAAAGGAACACUCAAUAGGUUCUUCGUUUGUUUCGACAUAAAGGGCCUUGCUAGUGACUGCGGCUAUAAUAUCCUCUUUCGCAUUGAUGGUUACCAACCGUCCCUCCGUCACUAGCUUCAAUUUCUGGUGCAACGAUGAGGGCACCGCUCCUGCUGAAUGUAUCAACGGUCUUCCCAAUAAACAAUUAUAGGAGGGCUUGAUAUCCAUCACUAAGAAGUCCACUUCGUAUAUGCUCAUCCUUCCCAUCACCUUCCUUUCUGUUUUGUCAAACGCUCUUACCACAUUUUGGCAUGUUUUCAUGUAAGAAUCAUCAAUAGGUAAUCUGUUCAAAGUAGACAGGGGUAAAACAUUCAAACCUAAUCCAUUGUCGACAAACACACUUGGGAGAGUGCACCCCUUGCAUCGAGUAGUAAUGUGCAAGGCCUUAGUUGACCCCCUGCCCCCCGGUGGGAUUUCAUCAUCAUUAAAAUAGAUGAAAUUAUCUGCGCUAAUGUUAUUCACCAACCGAUCCAGCUUGUUAACAGAUAUGUCAUGGGUGACAUAAUCUCGUUAAGCACCUUCAUCAAUGCUUCCCUAUGCGCCUCAGAACUCAAAAGUAGAGCCAAUACUGAUAUGCGAGCCAGCUGCUUACGCAAUUGUUCGACCAUGCUAUACUCGCUACGCUUUAGGAACUUUAGAAAUUCCUUAGCCUCCUCUUCAUUUACUGACUCCUUGACAGGUAUUUCAGCCUCUUUCUUCUUCUCUGUACUAACAUCCUUUGUUUUUGUGAGCUCCUCUCUAAUACCCACCAUACCAUACCUUUUCCCACUCUGUGUAUGGGAACCUUCAAUUUGUACAUCCCUAGACGUACUGGCUACAUUAUCCUUUUCCGGCAUUGAUACCUGACAAUUAUAACUCCAUGGUACCUUCUUGUUAUCCUUAUAAGGAAAAGACUCAGGUUUAUGGAUAAUGACUUUAGGCACUGUUUGUGCCACCAUUUCAUUAUUCCCCUGCAUGGAAAUAAUAAUCCUUGGCCGACUAGUUCUUUGCUGUUCAUCCUCCAGCACACAUAUUUGUUUUUCACAAGAGUUAUCCUCAAAAAUUUGUAGCUCUUUAUUGUCUAUAAAGUCUUGCACCAAGGCCUUGAAAUCUUCGCAAUCUUCAUGGAACUCACCAUAGUUCCUUAUUUCUUCUCUCUUAUUUUUAGAGGUUAACAUACCUCUCUUCAUCAUCUCCUCCCAAAUCACUCUCAUAGGCAUCUUUACCUCGGCAACAUCUUCUUUUAUUCUUCUCUCACUGGCUUCACCAAUGAUAUUCACUCCUUGGUCACCAUGAUUUGGCAACGGGUUUUCAGUACUAGGGGUAUUGUCAAACUUCACUACCCCCACCUCAAUAAGCCUCUCCACGGCUUUCUUGAAACCAGUACAAUUUUUGAUCGAAUACCCUGGUAUUCCAGCAUGGUAUUCACAUCUGGCAUUUGCGUCAUACCAUUUGGGAUAUGGGGGCUGUAGUGGUUUCAAAUGGAAAGGAGAAAUAGCAUGUGCAUCGUAUAAGCUUUGAUAGAGCUCGCGAUAUGCCACGGGAAUAGGUGUGAAUUGCAUCCUUUUAGUGUUCUGCCUGGUUCUCGACUCUUUCUUUUGAGAAAUUUGUUCCUCAACCGCAGCCAUUUCAGACUGACCAACUGUGAUUGCCCUCGUGUUAUAGGUGCUUGUAUUAUUCACUUCCCCAUCCUUUCUCCCUAGGGCCGAUCUUUUGGCUAUUUCCCCCUCAAUUUUGCCACCUCUUAUGGCAUUCUCGAUCAUCUCUCCCGCCAUAACUAUAUCCGCAAAGCUUUUAGUAGUACUCCCAAUCAUAUGUGUAAUAAAUGGAGCCUUCAGAGUGUUGAUGAACAACAUGGUAGUCUCCUUCUCCAACAAUGGUGGUUAAACUUGCAUUGCCACUUCUCUCUAUCUCUGUGUGUAUUGCCUAAAGUUUUCAUUAGGCUUUUUCUCUAUAUUUUGCAACGUAAUUCUAUCUGGAGUCAUGUCGGUCACAUGAUUAUACUGCUGCAUAAAGGCUUGGGUAAGAUCCCGCCAUGAACUUAUUCUGGUUCGGCUUAGUUGAUUGUACCACCUGGUUGCUGCUCCUACUAAACUGUCUUAGAAACAAUGGAUCAACAGCUGAUCAUUGUUUACGUACCUGGUCAUUCUUUUACAGAACAUCAUGAUGUGGGCCUCUGGACAAGUAGUCUCGUUGUACUUUUCAAACUCCGGCAUUUUGAAUUUAUGAGGAAGCACCAAGUCUGGGACCAAACUCAAGUCUUUGGCUUCGACUCCAUGAUGCCCAUCAGCACUUUCUAAAGCUUUAAAUUUCUCCUUCAGCCAUCGACAACGUUCUUCUAACUGUUUUGUAGCUUCAGCUCUCAAAUCUUCCUUUUCAACUAUAUCCAAAUCAGGAGUGAAAGGAUUGGUAGGGUUAUCACCUAAAUUGAAUCCCGAGCCAGUUGGGAAAUUUAUAGGGAUCCCAGCAUCAACUUGACCCUGUUGAGGCCUUAUUGUGACAGACGGCCCUCGAGGAUAUGCCUCGAGUUGAGUUCGUAUGUUAGGUGGAGUGAAACCAGGAGGAUGACCCUCAUUCUCCUCUCCAACAAUUUCCAUGGGAGCCUUUCCCUUAUCAGUGGCCCUCAGUAGUUGAGCCAUCUCAGCCAUCACGUUCUUCUGAGCUUCCAGCAUUUGCUCCCUCAUGUCAUUUUGCAUUUUUUCCAAUUGCUCUUGCAAUUGGUCUUGCAUGUCUUUCUGUAGUUGUUCAAAUCUUUGGUCCAUAUUCUUCGACUUAGCGCGUGUACCAUAGGGAUGUGUUGCUUCCAGAUUUUCUUUUUCUUUCUCUCUUUCUCCCUAAUAAUUUUAACUAAUUAGGGUCUUUCUAUAAACUUGAAUGCAUAUGAUGUAAUGAAAUGCAAAUGCAUGAAUGCAAAAAGAAUGUCGAUUCUGACUCAGUUUCAUUUUAGAAAACGUUAUUUAAGGAACAAAAAUCUUUUCAUAAAACGGAUUACAAAUACACUUUUUCCCGUAGGCCUAGAGUCUUAACCCUAUCUAAUAACAAUGCUAACUCUCAUCCUUUGUCUGACGAUGACUCAUACAUCAUACUCAGCGUUCUAGCCUGUGUUGCCAACUCCUGCAAGUGUUCAGCGACCUCUCGAAUCUGAACUAGGGCCUCUCCCAUAACAUGAUGUCUAUCUCCUACUUGACUCUGAAGAUGGUGAAGUUCUCCCUUCCACUGUUCUUCUCUUACCUCAAGUUGUUCAAUCCGUAGCUCACAGCCCUGUAGUGCUGCUUCUAACUCUCCAAGGUUGUGCUUCAUUUUCUCAAUCUUGUCCAAGCUUGCCUUUAACUCGAUCGCAGGGUUACGACUUCGAUAAUGAUGAAGGAAUCGUCCAAGCUCUGUCACCUUAACUUUUAGUCCUUGAUUUUCCUUUUCUAGGGCCUGAUUACGCGACUGUAUCUCUUGGAACUUCUUCUCCCAAUACUCGGCCUUCGCUUUUUCCUCUUGGGAUCUCAUGUUGCCACUGCUCUGAAGAUCUCCCUAAUCCAACCCUUUUCAACGGUACUUGGGCUUUCUUUAAUGUGUCUUCAAGUCAUCUCGAUCUUCCUCUUUUCCUUUUUCACCUUCUCGACUUUUAUCUUUUGAACAUUGACAUCGAGACUCAAACACAUUAUUUCCUCUUCGAGCUUCUCCAUCAUCUUUUCCAGCUCCAAAUUCCUUCUCUUGAACUCUUGUUUCAUAACCUCCAACUCUGAUGGAAUCACUCGUAAGCUCUCCUCUAAUGAUCGAGUUAUUCCCAAAUUCGGCCUAGGAACAUUAUUGUUGACUCUCUUACUAAACCACCCCUUAUACUCAAGGGUUGACGCCGAGCCUUCAGCCAAGAUCUUCAUACAGAAAGGCUUCUUCCAAGCCUCAGAAAUCUCUCGCAUCCUCUUCUUGUAGUGAUAUCCUUUGUAAGAGAAAUCACUCUAAGCUAAACCCUGUGUAGCUGGUAUAAACUGCCUUACUCGAUACUGCCUUAGACCUAGCAACGGUGUAUAUCCAAAGCUCCCCAAAUUCCUGGCAAAGGGACCCAAUCAAAACUGCCACAUAGGUAAAGGACUUCACUAGGAACCAACCAGGGAGCCUUCCACAUAACAUCCUCUUCUCGAAGAUUCUAAAGAAUGUCUAUCCACCUCUCCUCCGAAAUUUCAUCUCUCCUAGGCAUUUCUACUGUUUCCUUUAAGGGAGAAUAACUCUCAAAGAAAACUCAGCAAGGAACCUUAUCUAACUUCUAGAAGUGACUAUGAAACCAAACCAACAGCAACUGUGCACAUCCAAUGAAUCUUCCUUCACCAGCUCUUCUACAUGUGCUCAAUGAUCUUAUCGUCUCAGCUAAGAUCGCAGGCACUGGUGUGUUCUGUUUUCCAAGUCGAUCGAAUAAAUCCGCAACCGCCUCAUCUAUAUGCCCCAAUGCCUUUGGGAAAAUCACCAUGACAUAAAUACUCAAAGCCAGGACGUCGACCCUUUUCUUCACGUCUGGAUGCGUAGAUAUCAAAUCCCUCAAAAUAGCCCAUGGAAUGCACUUACUGUCACCCUUUUGCUACACACGAGCUAAAGCCCACUGCUCACUCAUCCCAGUAAUCAUUACCAACUUUUUCGCAAAAGUUGGAAGGCUAGCAGGCCUAACAUAAGCCUUGUAACCUUGAAUCCUCUGGAAACGUAGUAAAGUUGUAUACUCCUCUAAGGUGGGUACAAGAUCAACAUUACCAAAUGUAAAGCAACUAUAAGCAGGGUUCCAGAAUUGUACCAUGGCUCGAAACAAGUGCCUAUCUACCUUGACGUCUAGCAAAUAGGGGAGGUCUUCGUAACUCUGAUAGAAGAGCUGCUUAGCCUCGUCAUCCCAUUGGGCCCAAAUAUCUCUCAACUCUCGCAAUCAUUCUGCGUCGAAUUAACACGAGUGAAGUCCCAUAACUCUGGUGUAUACCCCUCAAUGAUACUAUCUCCUUUCUCUAACUGGGUUUUCUCUGACUAGGUACAGACAGAAGCAUUGUCCUCCACUUUAUUAAGGUAUCCAUUCCUCAUUACAAAACUUUCUAAUCUAGAAAUCGAGCCUUGAAUCGACACCUCUAAAUGCGAAAUGACAUGCAAUGACAGCAAAAUAAAAAACAAUAAGUCAGUAUCAAUAUAUAAAAAGAUAAACAAAUAUUUAUAAGGGUAAUUUUCUAAAGGUUAUCACUAUUAUCCCUAGGAUAAGCACUUAAAAGUUCACUAUAUGAGUUUUGGUUCUAAAGAAAAGGUACCUGAACCAGCAGAUUCCUCGGUCCUCACCCACUAUAGGCUCAUAUAGACCAAGUUCAAUUCAAAGGGACACUUUUCCCUAUGGCUAUACGGAGAUGAAAAUCUCAAGAAGACAUAGGUAGAGUAUCCCGGAAGCAAUCCACUAGCUCAUACGAAGGUAAAAACCUUACGAAAGCAUAGAUUCUCACUCCCACUUAAGGGUAUGACCACAACGGUCGUGCAAAUGCAAUGUAUAGCAAUAAAGUAACAAACAUAUACAGCAAACACAUGUAAAAAGAUCAAAUUUUAAAAGUUCCAAACUUCCGAAAUUAAGACAAAAAUACUCAAUUUCUUGGCUUGACUCUCUUAAGUCCCUAGCGGAGUCGCCAAGCUGUCGAAACCAAUUUUUUAAAGGGAUUUUCAAAAAACGGGGAUCGACUUUUGAAAAACGAAAACAGGAGUCGCCACCAAUCUUUUAAAGUGUGAUUGGAUCACUAUAUAAAACGUUUUGGUCUACGAAAUUAUGAGAAAAUAGGUUCGGGAGUCAGUUACGUACGAGGAAGGAUUAGCACCCUCGUAACGCCCAAAAAUGGUACCAAAUUGAAUAAUUUUGUCUUAGUGUCAGAAGUUUGAAAGAUUUUAGAAAUGAGAUUCCCUUCAAACUGUAAUGUUUUAAAUUUAAAAGAAUCAAGAUUCUUUUGUUUUAGAAGAGUAUAAAUAUCAUAUCCAGCAUGAUUGUAUACGAUAUCUUUAAUCUUUCAUAACUAAAAUCCUCUUGCGAUUUGUGAAACCCGUUUAAAAGGAUAUUUUAAAUAUUUAGACAAACGGGAAAUCGCAACCCAGCAUGUUAGGGCACUAAUUCCCGAAUUCGUAAAUAUCAAAACAUUGCCUUACUUCUAAAAAUUCCUUUUGAAACGAGAUGUUUUUAUUUUGAAAAAUGAUGACGUUUUUUUACAAGAUAUCAACAUUAAACAAGCCUAACUUCAUAAUGCAUACUUUAUCAUUUUAUGCAAAUAUAGUAUAGAGAAUAAUAAAUUACACAAUACACAUUAUCACUUUAUGCAUGGUUCUACAUAACUAAUAUUCAUGCACAUUUGUUACAUGUAAAAUAUAAAAAAAUGGUAAAAUAUAUCAAUACAUAAUAAUAUUUCAUGCAAAAUAUAUUCUUAAAAGGACAAUAUAAAAUAAUCAAUUAGAGAUAAAACAAAUGAUAUGCAAAAUUUAACCUACUAAACAACAAAAGAAAACUAAAAAACUAAGCAAAUUAAAAUGUAUAAAAUAUAAAUCAAAUAAAAGUAAGCUAUUUAAAAUAAUAUAAGAAUAAUAAAAGAGAACCCCCUUUUUAUUAAAAUGAUAUGUACAUAUAGAUUAAAAUAUAGGAUAUAAUAACUUAAUAUAUAAAAAUGUACUAAAUAUUGAUAUUACACUUAUUUACAAAAAAUUUAAAAAUGUAUAUAAUUAAUAAGUAAUAUAAUAAUGUAUAUUUUAUAAUAAAACAAAGGUAAUGUAAGGAAAUACGGUAAAAAUAUAUAUAUAAUAAAUUUAUGAACAAAAUACAUAUAUAAUGAUAUAAACUAUAUGAUAGAUGAAAUAAAUAAUAAUAAGAAUGAUAUAUUAAGUAAAUUUACAUACAAAAAUACAAUAAAAUAAUUAAUAUAUAUAAUAUAAAAAUAUAUAAUAUAAUAUAAAUGGAAUAAAUAACAUACAAUAAAAAUAUGACAUAUAAUAAAAUUUAUAAAAUGUAUAUAAUAUUAAUCAUAAAUAAAAUAAUAUAUUAUUAUAUAUAUAACUAAUGUUUAUAAAUAUAUAUAUAUAGUAUUUAAAAUGAAAAUGAAAAAUUAAAAUAAUAAAAUGAAAAUGAAAAAUUAAAAAUGCGGAAGAACCUAGAAGGGAAAUAUCCAUUUUAAUAAAACGCGCGGAUCCUCCCCGGGUAAACGGGUCAACGCGCGGAUCCUUUGCUUUGAAAUGACGUCGCUUUUAAGCUUAUUGAAUUAAACUAAAACGGCGUCGUUUUACCAGUGUUAAAAAAGUAAAAAAAAAACUUAAAAUCUUCAUUUCAAAAACUUCAUAAUAAAAAAGAGAGAGAGAGCUCUAAAAUUCUCUCAGAUCUUCGGCCAGUGGCCAUCCUAGCUCGUCCUGGAGCACCAUCACCUUUGGCCACACGCGCUUCACGCGUCACCAUCUGAGCCACCGUAUCCGGCGGUUAGGGCCUUCAAGGCCGCCAUUUUUCACAGCGAAUCCAAAAGGGAAUCUCUUUUUUUUUUAUCUUUAAAACGUAUUUUGUUAUAUACUUUAUCAAAAAGAAAAUAAAUAAUGAAAAGAAAAUUAAAAUAUCACCUCUGUUCUUCUGUUCUUUCCUUUGAUUUUUUUGUUUUUUUGUACAUAUUAGUAAAAAAACGUCGUUACAUUUUAGAAAAAGAAGGGGUUUUUAUAACCCUUUGUUACAUUUUAGGAAUAGAAAUCAUUUGAUUUCUUUUCAAAUCUGUUUCUUGGUUGCUGUUGGUUCGCUCUUCCUUUUUGCAAGUAUCUAGCGAGGAAAUCAAUGGGCCAGGAUGAUAGGCCCUGAUAACGACGGUGCUGGCACUGAUCUGUGUUUUAUUCAGUUUCAACUACGGCCAGAUUUGAGGCCUGGAAUCACGGCGUCGAUGGGGGUAGAUGGAACGACCGAGGUUGAAGAGGUGUGACUGAUGGGGUGCUUACGGCGCGAAGCUUCUAGAAACCCUAGGGUUUCCAGAUUCUGUUUAGGCAUUGGGCCUUGUUUAGGUGGGGUUUUGUUUGGGUUUGGGUGUAACAGGUUAAUAGAUUUUGGGCCAAAGGUUUAGGCUGAUUGGGUUGUAACUGGGUACUGGGUUUUGGGUAGUUUAGCUGGGUUAC
rnacentral:lncRNA from 1 species